rnacentral:misc_RNA from 1 species
GAUGAAGAACGCAGCGAAAUGCGAUACUUGGUGUGAAUUGCAGAAUCCCGCGAAUCAUCGAAUUUUUGAACGCAAGUUGCGCCCGAAGCCAUUCGGCCGAGGGCACGUCUGCCUGGGUGUCACGCAUCGUUGCCCCCCCAAACUCCGGUUCGGGCGGGGCGGAAGUUGGCCUCCCGUGCGUGCCUGCGCGCGCGGUUAGCCCAGAAGCGAGUCCUCGGCGAUGAGCGCCACGACAAUCGGUGGUUUUUUUACCCUCGUUCCUCGUCGUGCGUGCCCCGUCGCCCGAACGCGCUCUUGCAACCCUUACGCGUCGCCUCGGUGGCGCUCCCAACGCGACCCCAGGUCAGGCGGGACUACCCGCUGAGUUUAAGCAUAUCAAUAAGCGGAGGA